UACGUAGGGUGCGAGCGUUAAUCGGAAUUACUGGGCGUAAAGCGUGCGCAGGCGGUGGCUCAAGCCAGGCGUGAAAUCCCCGGGCUUAACCUGGGAAUGGCGUUUGGGACUGGGUCGCUAGAGUGUGGCAGGAGGGAGGUGGGAAUUCCAACGUGUAGCAGUGAAAUGCGUAGAUAUCUGGAGAACACCGGUGGCGAAGGCGGCAUCCUGGACCGAGAGUGACGCUGAGGCGCGAAAGCCAGG
rnacentral:rRNA from 1 species